AUCCUGGCUCAGAACGAACGCUGGCGGCAAGCUUAACACAUGCAAGUCGAACGGAUUGCUCUCGUAGCUUGCUAUGAGAACAAUUAGUGGCAGACGGGUGAGUAAUGCAUAGGAAUCUACCUAGUAGUAUAGGAUAGCCACUAGAAAUGGUGGGUAAUACUGUAUAAUCCCUGCGGGGGAAAGAUUUAUCGCUACAUGAUGAGCCUAUGUUAGAUUAGCUAGUUGGUGGGGUAAUGGCCUACCAAGGCAGUGAUCUAUAGCUGGUCUGAGAGGAUGAUCAGCCACACUGGAACUGAGACACGGUCCAGACUCCUACGGGAGGCAGCAGUGGGGAAUAUUGGACAAUGGGCGCAAGCCUGAUCCAGCUAUGCCGCGUGAGUGAGGAAGGCCUUAGGGUUGUAAAACUCUUUCAGUGGGGAAGAUAAUGACGGUACCCACAGAAGAAGUCCCGGCAAACUCCGUGCCAGCAGCCGCGGUAAUACGGAGGGGGCAAGCGUUGUUCGGAAUUAUUGGGCGUAAAGGGCAUGUAGGUGGUUUGGUAAGUUAAAGGUGAAAUGCCAGGGCUUAACCCUGGAGCUGCUUUUAAUACUGCCAGACUGGAGUCCGGGAGAGGAUAGCGGAAUUCCUAGUGUAGAGGUGAAAUUCGUAGAUAUUAGGAGGAACACCAGUGGCGAAGGCGGCUAUCUGGUCCGGUACUGACACUGAGGUGCGAAAGCGUGGGGAGCAAACAG
rnacentral:rRNA from 1 species